GUAGGUGGCAAACGUUGUCCGGAAUUAUUGGGCGUAAAGCGCGCGCAGGCGGGGUCCUUUAAGUCUGAUGUGAAAGCCCACGGGCUCAACCGUGGAGGGUCAUUGGAAACUGGGGGACUUGAGUACAGAAGAGGAAAGCGGAAUUCCAAGUGUAGCGGUGAAAUGCGUAGAGAUUUGGAGGAACACCAGUGGCGAAGGCGGCUUUCUGGUCUGUAACUGACGCUGAGGCGCGAAAGCGUGGGGAGCAAACAGGAUUAGAUACCCUGGUAGUCCACGCCGUAAACGAUGAGUGCUAAGUGUUAGGGGGUUUCCGCCCCUUAGUGCUGCAGCUAACGCAUUAAGCACUCCGCCUGGGGAGUACGGCCGCAAAGGCUG
rnacentral:rRNA from 1 species